rnacentral:lncRNA from 1 species
ACCUUAGAAUUUAGGAUGUCGAACUUACAUAAAAUAUUCACAAACUGACUAGCUUGGAUCUUGAUCUGAUAAAUAUUAUUUUAGAGAUAUUUUUUUUAUCUUUCGAAUGGAUAUGAGAUGUCCAUGAAUCUUAAGGCAUUCUUUUUGAAAAAAAAAUUUCUUAGUGAAGGAACUGAUGUCAUUAAGAGCAAACUUGGUGAAGUUUGAUAAAUAGAGGAACCAACUCUGACACAAACCAA